rnacentral:rRNA from 1 species
AUUGAACGCUGGCGGCAUGCUUUACACAUGCACGUCGGACGAGUGGCUAACGGGUGCGUAAUAUCUCGGAACGUACCGAGUAAAGGGGGAUAACUACUCGAAAGAUUAGCUAAUACCGCAUAUUAUUCGAGCGGCCCAUAUCUGAUUAGCUAGUUGGGGGGGUAAAGGCCUACCAAGGCGACGAUCAUUAGCGGGUCUGAGAGGAUGAUCCGCCACACUGGGACUGAGGCACGGCCCAGACACCUACGGGAGGCAGCAGGGGGGAAUAUUGGACAAGGGGCGCAAGCCUGGUGCAGCCAUGCCGCGUGGCUGAAGAAGGCCUUCGGGUUGUAAAGGACUUUUGUCGGGGAAGCGGUACCUGAAGAAUAAGCACCGGCUAACUACGUGCCAGCCGCCGGGGUAAUUC